UACGUAGGGUGCAAGCGUUGUCCGGAAUUAUUGGGCGUAAAGAGCUCGUAGGCGGUCUGUCGCGUCGGAUGUGAAAAUCCAGGGCUCAACCCUGGACCUGCAUUCGAUACGGGCAGACUAGAGUUCGGUAGGGGAGACUGGAAUUCCUGGUGUAGCGGUGAAAUGCGCAGAUAUCAGGAGGAACACCGGUGGCGAAGGCGGGUCUCUGGGCCGAAACUGACGCCGAGGAGCGAAAGCGUGGGGAGCAAACAGG
rnacentral:rRNA from 1 species